GUGAGGAUGACGUCACAACAAACCGGAAAUUAGUGUCGGAAUAUUGACGCUUGGUGAACGUCGCCACGAAAUCAUUACUGAUUCGACUGGAUGAGAAGCUACGAUUACCGGAAUCGCUCUUCAAGAAUCAAGAAUCAAGUAUCAACAAACAAGAGCCAAUCGCAUCAAAACCAUGCAGCACCAGAAAUCGCAUUAAUGAAACCCAUCCUACUGCAGGGCCACGAACGGUCCAUCACACAGAUCAAGUACAACAGAGAAGGAGACCUUCUGUUUUCCGUCGCCAAAGAUCCGGUGGCCAACGUGUGGUACUCUGUCAACGGCGGACGACUCGGUACCUACAACGGACACACGGGAGCUGUGUGGUGCGUCGACUGUGACUGGGACACAAAAAAUGUUUUGACAGGAUCAGCUGACAACAGCUGUCGACUGUGGGACUGUGAGACCGGGAAACAGCUGGCACUGCUCCACACUAACUCUGCCGUCAGAACAUGCGGCUUCGACUUCAGCGGCAACAUCAUCAUGUUUUCCACCGACAAGCAGAUGGGCUAUCAGUGUUUCAUGAACUUCUUUGACCUGAGGGAUCCACAACAAAUCGAGGACAACCAGCCGUACCUGACGAUACCCUGCAGCGAACACAAGGUGACCAGCGCCGUGUGGGGACCUUUGGGAGAGUUUGUCAUUGCCGGCCAUGAAAACGGAGAGAUCAACCAGUUCAGCGCCAAGUCCGGAGAAGUCCUGAAGAAAGCUAAGGAGCACAGCAGGCACAUCAACGACAUCCAGACGUCUGUAGACCUCACCAUGUUCAUCAGUGCCUCAAAAGACAACACCGCCAAGGUCUUUGACUCUGCCUCUCUGGAUCACAUCAAGACUUUUAAAACGGAGAGACCGGUGAACUCUGCCGCCAUUUCUCCAGACAGCAAAAGCACAGGGAGACGCUCCCAGGAGAAGGAGGAGGGCGUGGUGUCAUGUGACCGGAAGACGGAUCAUCACUUCUGCGCCGUGUGUCAUGACUUCGCCUGGGGUUAUCAGUAUGGCGUGUGGUCCUGUGAAGGAUGUAAGGCCUUCUUUGAGAGGAGCAUCCAGGACGUGUGCCGCAGAGUUGCUCCAGGCUGCUGCGUCUCCUGGACGCCAUGACCGACGCUGUGGUGUGGGCCAUCGCCAAGAGCGGCCUGUGGUUCCGUCAGCAGUACAGCCGCCUCGCUCACCUGCUCAUGCUGCUGUCACACAUCCGUCAUGUCAGCAACAAAGACAUGAAGAUGAAGAACGUGGGGCCUCUGUAUGACCUGCUGCUGGAGAUGCUGGACGCUCACAUCAUGCACAGCUGUCGUCUGGGCCGCCGUGCUGCUCCCUCUCCUCACCCUCUUUCCCCUGCAGGUGAUGGGCAGGGUGUCACGGUCCAGAAGGAGACGUACUGGCAGUCUGCAGACUCUGGGAGAAGCUCCUCACACACAUGGACUCCUGGCAGCUCCAAAGUGGAUGGAGAAGGACAUUAAAAUGUUUUUUUUUUUUUAAAGACAUAAAGAAAACAUUGACACACUGCUAAGGUUUCACCUGCUUUGCACAUGUUAACUCACCAAUGCUGUUUUAUAUUGUGACAAGGUAAAAGCUGGAGCCCAGGAUGGAUGGAAGUUGUAGAGAGGUCACCUGGUGAAAAAGGUGACUAUGCUUUGCACAAAACUGAUGUCAUAAAGUAGUAAUAGGUGGUUUGAAAAGGUAGGACAGAGAUUAGAUGGUGAGAUUAGAGCUGGAGAUUUAAUGUCCACCCUGCAGAGGACGUAAUGUUUGACCAUUAGAGCUGGUCAAACAACCAAUCAGGGUGAAGCAGUGAAACAAAGUAACAAUGCAGUGAAAAAGUGUGAGGCAGGGGUAUAUAGUGAUGGUAUGAAUGUAAUAUCAUACCAUAUAUGAAUGAUAGUAGUUUAAGCUACAUGUGGACUGUUAAGUGGGACAGAUGAGGUAGGACAGGAAGUGAGUGGAAAUGGAGGUGGUGAGGUGAAGUGAGCUGCAGGGGGAAAUGUGUGGGUGGAGGAGACACUGCUGUAGGAGACUACUGCUUUUCAGGUAGGUGCGUCUUCAUGGAGCGGCAGUGGAGAGGUGAUGGAAGUUGUGUUAGAAAUGACAAUGGACCGUGUAGGCUAAUGAGGCUAAUUUGAUUGAUGUUGUUAUUGUGACUAAUGUCAAAUGUCAGGCAGAGAGAAGGUUUGAGAAACGUGUUUAAGAAGUUUUUAUGAAGGUGAAGAAUCCUGAACUGUUGAAAUGGGUAGCUAUGCAGCUUGAGGUUGACUAGCAGAUGUUUUUGUAGAAAUGUGUGGGUUUUUUCUUGUUACUGGGAAGAUGGUUUGAAAUCCUGUUUUGGGCAAUGUAGUUGUGAUGGCAGAAGUUGCAUGUUGUCAUGAAGCAGUAUUUGUUAUCAGUGGCAGCAGUUUGGAGUGUCCAGGAUCAGUUGGUGGGAAGAGGAAACUUCCCAAACAGUGUGUAUAAUGUGAAGGAGUUAGGGUUUAAAAAGGAGUUCUGGGUGAGGUAAGCAAAGGUGACGUGUUGCUUCAGUAGCAUCUGUGUGAAUCACGUUGCUUGGGCAAUCAGAAACACUGUGAAGGCAAAUGUUUAUGUCACAGAUCUGACUGUUGGGUUUCCUUCUGGACUGUCUGUCAGAGCUAUGUAGUGGCAGUGGUUCUAGUGUUGUGUUCUUUGAAGGAUGUCACGCACACUUUGCUUUUAUUUCAACCGUUCUGUAAUGACGUGAAUAAGCAGAGGUGGUGUAAUCCUCCUUGUUGUCAGAUGUUGUGUUUGUUUCACUAUGUAAAGUGACAUGGUACCAAUCAGUUCUGAGUGAUGGUGUUGGUGUUUCCUGUGAAAGGAGGAUGAAGUUUUAUUGGCACAUGUUAAAACCAAACUGUGUUUUCAUGUUGUGAUGUGUUGCUGAACAUGUUGUGUGUGAAACCAUUAAAUGCAGCCAACAAACUG